CAGUCCACCCACUCACAAACCUCCUCCUCCCAUGAAGAAGUAUUCCUAUUCAGACACAUCGAGCAUCAGUAAACCUGUGUCUGAUUCUCAGUUCAUGCACCACGAGACAGAGAAAGAGGAACCAAUGACAGAUCUCUCAGCAUACCAUGAUGACAAGGAUCAUCAUGAGCCUUCACGUUUCUCCUG